rnacentral:rRNA from 1 species
GGAAGUUAGACGGGGCCCGGCACAAGCGGAGGAGCAUGUGGUUUAAUUCGAUGAUACGCGAGGAACCUUACCUGGGCUCGAACGUAAGAUGACUGUAGGUGAAAGCUUACAUCUCUUCGGAGCAUUUUACGAGGUGCUGCAUGGUUGUCGUCAGCUCGUGCCGUGAGGUGUCGGGUUAAGUCCCAUAACGAGCGCAACCCUACCUUUAGUUGCCAUCAGGUAAUGCUGGGGACUCUAAAGGAACUGCCUACGCAAGUAGUGAGGAAGGCGGGGAUGACGUCAAAUCAGCACGGCCCUUACGUCCAGGGCUACACACGUGCUACAAUGGCCGAUACAGAGGGCAGCUACCUGGUGACAGGAUGCAAAUCUCCAAAGUCGGUCUCAGUUCGGAUCGGAGUCUGCAACCCGACUCCGUGAAGUUGGAUUCGCUAGUAAUCGCGCAUCAGCCAUGGCGCGGUGAAUACGUUCCCGGGCCUU